rnacentral:rRNA from 1 species
CGGCCGUAGCGCGGUGGUCCCACCUGACCCCAUGCCGAACUCAGAAGUGAAACGCCGUAGCGCCGAUGGUAGUGUGGGGUUUCCCCAUGCGAGAGUAGGGAACUGCCAGGC